GGGGGAGGUGAUGGGAUCUUGUGUGGAUAGUGCGCCCUUGAUGCAGAGACCAUAUUGAGGUUUUGGGAGUUUUAUGGGCAAUUGAAUUUGCUAAAAAUUUGGGAUUGUCUUGUAUUUGUUUGGAGGAUGAUUCUCUUUCUGUUGUGAAUGCUGUCAAGUCUGAGAAUUUUGUCCAUUGAAGGGGAUGCGAUUGAUGAAGUCCGUAGAAUUUUACAGAGCCAGGCGGCUCACCUUCUUUCUCAGAUGGCUCUUCACUCAACGGGUUUCCAAGCUUGGUUUGAGGAGGUUCCCACUUCUAUUGCUCCUACUAUUAUGAAAACAAGAAACACAAGAAAAAAGAAGCAGUACAAACAAAGGGCUAAGCCCUCACAAAACUAACUCCAUUCAUAUCCUCCACAACCAAAGCUCUAACAACUUCGGGGAGGGUCUUCAAGCAUCACCACAUGUUCAGUCUGUGCCACUCCUAGGUUGGCCAGCAUAUCAGCAACUUUAUUGCCUUCCCUCAAUGUGUGUCCAAGGGUACAAUUGCAUCGUUUCAUCAGGAACUUUGUAUCCCCAAUGAGGGCUCUGAAGGGGGAGUUAUAGCUCGGUACGUUCUGUAUUAGGUCAAUGAUUUGGGCCGCAUCAGUCUCUAUUGACAAUUGUUGUAGUAGUAAUUGAGACUCACAAUACUAAAAAGUUAUACACGAUUAUGUGACAAUGACAUUUAUGCAGCUAUGACUUAUAUAUAUAUA